AGGACGAACGCUGGCGGCGUGCUUAACACAUGCAAGUCGAGCGGUAAGGCCUUUCGGGGUACACGAGCGGCGAACGGGUGAGUAACACGUGGGUGAUCUGCCCUGCACUUCGGGAUAAGCCUGGGAAACUGGGUCUAAUACCGGAUAUGACCUCCUAUCGCAUGGUGGGUGGUGGAAAGAUUUAUCGGUGCAGGAUGGGCCCGCGGCCUAUCAGCUUGUUGGUGGGGUAAUGGCCUACCAAGGCGACGACGGGUAGCCGACCUGAGAGGGUGACCGGCCACGACUGGGACUGAGACACGGCCCAGACUCCUACGGGAGGCAGCAGUGGGAAUAUGCACAAUGGGCGAAAGCCUGAUGCAGCGACGCCGCGUGAGGGAUCGACGGCCUUCGGGUUGUAAACCGUCCUUCGAGCAGGACGAAGCGCAAGUGACGGUACCUGCAGAAGAAGCACCGGCUAACACGUAGCCAGCAGCCGAC
rnacentral:rRNA from 1 species